rnacentral:rRNA from 1 species
GACGUAGGAUGCGAGCGUUGUCCGGAUUUAUUGGGCGUAAAGAGUUCGUAGGUGGUUUGUUAAGUCUGGUGUUAAAUACUGAAGCUCAACUUCGGAACUGCACUGGAUACUGGCAGACUUGAGUAUGGUAGAGGCGAGCGGAAUUCCCAGUGUAGCGGUGAAAUGCGUAGAUAUUGGGAAGAACACCGGUGGCGCAAGCGGCUCGCUGGGCCAUAACUGACACUGAGGAACGAAAGCUAGGGGAGCAAAUGGG